UAUCUCUUCAAAAAAGAGAGAGAGAGAGAAAAGUAAAAAGCUGGAGUUUACUUCCUGACUGGAGGCGAGUGUUUGUUGAAAUAAGUGGAGAUUUCCUGCACGUCUUUAGGAAAGGAUGAGGUGAAAGUUUGGUGGGGGGGCAGAAUGUGGUGGACUUGUUGAGCUUUGGUGUGAUUUGGGGCCUUUCUCUCUCUUUCUGCUUGCUUCUUCUGGUCUCUCAGGUAGCUGUGUGUGAUCGCUGCGAAUGCAGUGGAGCUUUAGGCUGAUUCACUGCUGAGGAGUUUGUGCGCUGGAGAUAAAGCUGGAGCUGGAUCAGACAGCGUGCGCAGGGCUGGCAGCGUCUGCCAUGCAAGAGAGAAGUUCAUUAUGUGGUGACGAAGAUGAAGAUGAAGACAAAGGAGACGCAGAGUGACUAUGUUUGGUUUGGUGUAUGGAGAAGAGGAGGGCGCCUUGUCUGCUGCGAGUGAUGCAAUGCGGUUACUCAACUAGAACGGGCCUGUUUACAACAUGACAACAGGAGCUGCAGUUUCUCAUGCCUGUUUAAUUGAAAGCAGGUCUUCCUCUAAAGGUGCGGAGUCCAGAUCCUGGUCAGUGCUGUCGUUCUUGAUGUAAGGAAUGUGCAAGAUGGCAGUUAUGACCUUCCCCUUCCUCCCCCUACAGCCCAGACCUGCAGGUCCAUCGUCUUAUCUUCCACUCCUCUGCUUUCAUAAAAACACGCUGGAGCCGCUGUAUUAUUCUCUCAUUGGAGACGAAGGAAAAUCCAUCGCUUCAGUUUAUGUUUCAGCGGAGCAGGCCACCCUGACCGUACAGACAGCAAUAAGAAGGAGGGGAGAAGAGAAGGGAGGGAUGGAGAGUGAAAAGGGAGAAAGUGUAUGAGGAGGGAUGGCGCAAAAGAAAGUGGGAGAGAGAGAGAACUAAAGAAGGGGAAACAAAGAGGCUGAAAUAGGAAGGGACUGAGAAAGUUAGCAAGAGAUGGAUGUACAAAGAGCAAGGAAGAUGAAGACUUUUUUCUUUCUUUUUUUUCCCUUUCAAAUCAACACCAGGGUGAUGCAUCAUCUCCGAACUUCAGCUUGGUUGAGCAAAAACAGCCCUGUCCUCCAAGCCUCCACUCGAGCUGGAGUGUUUCAAGGUUAUGCUAACUCAAGCAUGCUGCACCAAUAACAUAAACAGUGCGAUAACCAGCUGCCCGGCAGAUUUCUGUCAUAACUCAUGCCCAUAGACAGCCUGAGGGCCUGCUAUUUCUUUUGGACACAUAAAAUUGAGAAGGAACAAUAUUUUUGAUUCCAACGUUCUGUUUGGCAUUCUUUGUACGGCACACUCAUGCGAAUCACUGAACAAGCUCAUUUCGCAGUGUCUUAAAAUGACUCCACAAACACUCAGCCCUGCCCUUAAUAAUCCUUAAUGUUGAGAUAAUUUUUAAUGUUGCAAUAUCUCAUCUUAGUGCCAUUGCCUUAAU